rnacentral:rRNA from 1 species
CAGCCGCCACGGGAAUACGAAGGGGGCUAGCGUUGCUCGGAAUGACUGGGCGUAAAGGGCGCGUAGGCGGCGAUCAAAGUCAGGCGUGAAAUUCCUGGGCUCAACCUGGGGGCUGCGUUUGAUACUUGGUUGCUAGAGUGAGGAAGAGGGUCGUGGAAUUCCCAGUGUAGAGGUGAAAUUCGUAGAUAUUGGGAAGAACACCGGUGGCGAAGGCGGCGACCUGGUCCUUGACUGACGCUGAGGCGCGAAAGCGUGGGGAGCAAACAGGAUUAGAUACCCGCGUAGUCCCUGUCUCUUAUAC